GACGAACGCUGGCGGCGUGCUUAACACAUGCAAGUCGAACGGAAAGGCCCUGCUUUUGUGGGGUGCUCGAGUGGCGAACGGGUGAGUAACACGUGAGUAACCUGCCCUUGACUUUGGGAUGACUUCAGGAAACUGGGGCUAAUACCGGAUAGGAGCUCCUGCUGCAUGGUGGGGGUUGGAAAGUUUCGGCGGUUGGGGAUGGACUCGCGGCUUAUCAGCUUGUUGGUGGGGUAGUGGCUUACCAAGGCUUUGACGGGUAGCCGGCCUGAGAGGGUGACCGGCCACAUUGGGACUGAGUUACGGCCCAGACUCCUACGGGAGGCAGCAGUGGGGAAUAUUGCACAAUGGGCGGAAGCCUGAUGCAGCAACGCCGCGUGCGGGAUGACGGCCUUCGGGUUGUAAACCGCUUUCGCCUGUGACGAAGCGUGAGUGACGGUAAUGGGUAAAGAAGCACCGGCUAACUACGUG
rnacentral:rRNA from 1 species